UACGGAGGGGGCUAGCGUUGUUCGGAAUUACUGGGCGUAAAGCGCGCGUAGGCGGAUCUGCAAGUCGGGGGUGAAAUCCCGAGGCUCAACCUCGGAACUGCCUUCGAUACUGCGGGUCUCGAGUCCGGGAGAGGUGAGUGGAAUUCCUAGUGUAGAGGUGAAAUUCGUAGAUAUUAGGAAGAACACCAGUGGCGAAGGCGGCUCACUGGCCCGGUACUGACGCUGAGGCACGAAAGCGUGGGGAGCAAACAGGG
rnacentral:rRNA from 1 species